rnacentral:rRNA from 1 species
UGGGGAAUAUUGCACAAUGGGCGCAAGCCUGAUGCAGCCAUGCCGCGUGUAUGAAGAAGGCCUUCGGGUUGUAAAGUACUUUCAGCGGGGAGGAAGGCGAUAAGGUUAAUAACCUUGUCGAUUGACGUUACCCGCAGAAGAAGCACCGGCUAACUCCGUGCCAGCAGCCGCGGUAAUACGGAGGGUGCAAGCGUUAAUCGGAAUUACUGGGCGUAAAGCGCACGCAGGCGGUCUGUCAAGUCGGAUGUGAAAUCCCCGGGCUCAACCUGGGAACUGCAUUCGAAACUGGCAGGCUAGAGUCUCGUAGAGGGGGGUAGAAUUCCAGGUGUAGCGGUGAAAUGCGUAGAGAUCUGGAGGAAUACCGGUGGCGAAGGCGGCCCCCUGGACGAAGACUGACGCUCAGGUGCGAAAGCGUGGGGAGCAAACA